UGUGAGAGCGGGCUUGCCCGCGAAGGCGGUAGCUAAGUUGGCAUUUGUGUUGACUGACACGCCCCCAUCGCGGGCAAGCUCGCUCCCACA
rnacentral:misc_RNA from 1 species